rnacentral:rRNA from 1 species
GACGAACGCUGGCGGCGUGCUUAACACAUGCAAGUCGAACGGUGAAGGGACCGGUUUUUGCUGGUUCUGGAUGAGUGGCGAACGGGUGAGUAACACGUGAGUAACCUGCCCCCUUCUUCUGGAUAACCGCAUGAAAGUGUGGCUAAUACGGGAUAUUCUGCGCCUGCUGCAUGGUGGGUGUGGGAAAGAUAUUGUUUCGGUGGGGGAUGGGCUCGCGGCCUAUCAGCUUGUUGGUGGGGUGAUGGCCUACCAAGGCGGUGACGGGUAGCCGGCCUGAGAGGGUGGACGGUCACACUGGGACUGAGACACGGCCCAGACUCCUACGGGAGGCAGCAGUGGGGAAUAUUGCACAAUGGGCGCAAGCCUGAUGCAGCGACGCCGCGUGAGGGAUGGAGGCCUGCGGGUUGUAAACCUCUUUCGCCAGUGAAGCAGGCCUGUCCCUUGUGUGGGUGGGUUGACGGUAGCUGGAUAAGAAGCGCCGGCUAACUACGUG